rnacentral:lncRNA from 1 species
UCAGACCUUUGUUGAAAUUUUCCUCGAUGCUAAGUAUUAGUUUGCGGGUAAAAUAUUCCGUUUGAAACGUAAUUCUAACGCAAUGGAUAUGCAAGUUUUUGAAAUCGAGAAUUAUUAUGGAAAAAGGAUAUGGUGUAUACAGAUCAGUUUGGUAUAAAUGAAGAUAUGAAUGUGGUUAGGAAUGAUUUAACAAACAUUCGGAGUCGGUUUAACAACG